ensembl:lncRNA
AGCGGAGGAGGAAUCACCUCCCUCCUUCUCCCGCUCCCUCCCCAGCUCAAGCGGGCCUGGCGGGAGCGCCCGUGGCCGCCGGGGCGGCGGGAGCGGCUGAGGCACCCCUCCGGCCGGGCGCUACCAGCGAGGGGCGGCCCCCGCCCGAAGGAACAGGGGAGGCAGCUCCCUGUGGGCUUGGCUGAGGAACUCCUGUCGCCCAGCGGAGCGGUCACACACCGGAGCGGUGGGGGAGAGGAGAGGGCCAGGGCUAACAAAGCCAGACCGCCUCCCUGCCUCCAUUCCAGCGCUGCUCCCGGCCGCCCCCCGCGGGUUUCCCGCGGCCGCCAAGCGGGAACGAGCCCAGGGCGAGGCGCCCGGACCCGAGUGAGGGAAGGGGCCCGGUUUCUGCGGGGCAGACGGGCCGCAGGGGGCUGGUGGACUCCGCCGGGCGGCGGGGGCGGCCGGGCGGGUGGAGGACGGAGCGGGGAUGCCCGCGGCCCUCCUGCCGCCGCCGGGCUGUGCGCGGGCGCCGCAGCCGCAGCCGUAGCCGUGCCUGCUGCAGGCGGCGGCCAUCGCGGGCUCGCCGCCCCCGUGCGCCCCUCCGAGGACGGAGGGGUGGGGGCAGAGGAGGCGGAGGAAGCGGCGGCGGCGGCGCCAGGAACAGGGAGGCGGCGGCACGGCGAGGGAGGGAGCCAGAGCCGAAGCCGGGCCGGGCCCCGCGAAAGCAACAGCAGAGCCAGCUCCUCCUUCUCCUCCUCCUCGUCCACCAAGGUUGGAAGAUUUCUUGAAAGAUUCUUAGAGUCCUUCAGCUUGCCAUGCUUAGCCUGGAGCCAGGCUUGCUGCUGCAGGUUGUGCUGCUAACAUCGCACGCAUUUGGAGGAAAUGGCUCUUGAAGUUAAAUGAGGCUGGAUAAAACACAUAAAUGAAGCAGAAGCUGCUCUUCGUGUGUUAGGGCUACAUCACCGCAAGCGCUGCCGAUCAGCC